AUUUCCCAGAGUGGUCGCUCUGUGCUAUUGUAGUUGACGUAAUAAUGUACAAUGGCAUGACGUAAUAUAUGGCUUAUGACGUAAACGCACUCAAGAGAAGGUUCAGUGCCUGCUUCUGGAACAGUUGAGUUGAUGAUUUGCAAAGGACAGUCAUCUUCAUGUUCAAAUAAAUCAUUUUGAGUGGACAAAGAGGACAUUCUGUGAGUACAGCAAAACGGGCCAAGAUUUUGGAAAAAAAAUAUUGAAAUGUAUUUUAAAAUGUAUUUGUUUAUAAAAAAAUGUCAGGUCCAAUCUGAGAAGGGUGCCUGAAAGCACAAUGGAUAGAAAUCAUAAACGGUUGAAAAAAAUUCUUCAAAAAGUAAGUCUCAUAAGUGAUAAAACAUUUUUUGUUAAUUCUGGGGCUUACUCUCUUGAUAUGUAAUGAGGCUAUCUUCUUGGUAGUAUAGCCUAUAUGCUGUAAAAACAGAUUGACAUGAUUUAUAAUUGGAGAAGUGGGCAUAAUAAUGGAGGGCUCAAGUUAAAUGUAUUUCCUUAUGUUCCUGUACCCCAGGCUGGGAUCCUCCAAGCUAGUGCUGGAGAGCAGGUGCUCCAGACAGACGUCCAUUCCGCUGGCCAUGAUGGACUAAGGCUGCCAGCCCUGGGAGACUGCCCCAAGGACAGCCCUCUAAAGAACCUUGUGCCGAAGCCCCCACAAGGCCCCAGGCCCAGCCGAGAGACCAAUAUAGCAAAGGCAGAAAAGAAGGCCAGAGAGGCUAUCAAGCCUAGAAGUGCUAGGGAGGCUAAGGCAGGGGUGAAAAACCUAAGCCUCCAAGUAGUUGGUGUGUUGGCACUGCCUCAAACUCUUCAAUCUCGAACAACCUGUUACAGUGAGUAUUCAUCUCCAUUUCCAAAAUUCUUGGAUUUUUUGAUAGAAUUCUAAAAGGAUAUAUGGUGGAAGGAUCCACUAAUAUCUACGACUCUCCUCUUUCUGUAGGUGUCCUGCCAGCUAUCAAGAAGGGCACUAAAGUUACUAAAAUGGAGACAACACAACCCCCAGGUCCCCUGACACCUAAUGAUGGGGAGAUAAUGAUCUCCUCUCCAUCUGUUGAUGACCUCCUGACCCCAAAGAGUGAUGUCACGUCCGAGGCUAAGAGUGAUGAUGCCUCCUGUCCAAUUUCACCUGAGGCGUUCUCUCUAACAAUCUUCCUGAAGUCUCACCCUCAGAGAAAGCUUAUCAGGAAGUUCCUCAAACAAAUGAAUGUGACAAUAGGCGACCUGGACGAGAUCAUCGAGUGGGUGGUGUGUGUCUCCAGUGAGGUGUUCCUCCCAGUGAUGGCUCUGCACAGGACCUCCAGACCAGAGUCGUCAGACUCAUCCCGCUGGGGGUCAGGUGUGCUCCAGAUUGUCUCUGAAAAGUUCCACCAGCGGAGUUCUGAGCCGAAGGGAAGGCUCCUGGGCGGGCAGCCGCCCACUCCCCCUUCUGAGACCGACAAGGAGCUUCAGGGCAUAGCAGAUCUGUCUGUGAGUAACAUCCUGAAAAGGGCCCAGGAGGACCUCUUCUCUUCUGGUGAGGAUGACCUGGAGAACACCCAUCCAGGCAUCACUCUGACCGAAGAGAAGCUCUCCAGCAUCUUCUCAGAGCUGUUCAGGGAUGCCUGUGAGAGUGCCCAGGAGGCCGCCAGACGGAUCCACCACAUGAGGUCUGGAAGAGGCAACAACAGCCGAAAUGGGAGAUGCCCUGGGUCAUCACAGGGAUCGAGCAGGUCCAACAUGCCAGAGUUGGGAGAACUGGGGUCAGUGAGGAGGCCCAAGGGAAGUGACGUCCAUAAAGUCCUUAGCGAGGGGUCCUUCCCUGUCUUUGCCCUGUUUGGGGAGAGGCCAGGGGAAGUUGGGGAGACCAGCAGCCCUGCUGGAGAGAUGGACGAGACCCAGACUGCCAGCACUCCCAGCAUUCCCCGGUCUGGGCAUGGCGGCAGAAGGAGUAGCCAGACCACCAUUCCCACCACCGGCCACAGAGAGGCAGGUGUCACAGCCAGUAACAUCUUUGAUAUUAUUCUUCAUCUGGCGCACUCCGACACUGACCGGGAACUCCACCAGGAGUUCAGCAGUGAGGAUGAUGUUUCACUGAAUGACAUCAUGGACAUGAAGUUAACCCCGGCAGUGGAGCCCCUGGGGCAGAUGCUGUCCUCAUGGAGGCUGGUCAACAGGAUCUUCAGGGGGAAGGUCCACUACUUUGGGAAGGAGCUCAUCUGCAAGGUGUAUCAGAUGCUUCUGGACACCGGUAUGGGCAGGAGGCCAAUGGCCCGCCAGAGCAGGUCCGAGCCCACCCUGAAAGACCUGGCUGCCAACCGUAGGCUCUCCAAUGAAUUCUUCACAGACGUGCUGUACAUGUUCAUCCAACGGGCCAUUAAGAAUCUGCUGGAGAACUUCUUGGGUCUGCCGACCACCCCACCGGGUAGAGACAUUAUGUGGAAUGACAACUUCAACUGGAUGUAUAGGGACGGCUGGGGGGACACCCCCACAUCCAGCGAGGAGGACAGCGACUCCACCUGGUCAAGUGGGCUUGGGGAGGAGGAGGCAGAGUCCCAUGGGAGGUGGGCCGCUCUGUUGGAGAAGGGCAGCUUCCUGACCCUCCAGUCCUCCAGCUCCCUCUCCGAUGACAACAAGGAGGCACUAGGGGCCAUCUACCAGGUCCUGACCACCAGGGUGGGAGACAUCCUGAACAGUACCUGCAACGACGAUUACAAGGCCAGGCUCAUCAUCCAGAAAGGAUUGGAUUCCGGUGCCAGGGAAAGGUUCCCUGACUCUCCGUGUCCCUCUUCACCCAAGGACGAAGAGGAGGUGGUUGUGAGUGGCAUGACUGUCUCAUACCCUAAACCCUCCACCUCAACCCAGGCGGCAUGGGCAGCUCCUGCCCAGACUCUGGACGUUUUUCUGCCCAGACCCUGCCUGGAUGAAGAAGAGGUAGUGCCCAGCACCUCCAUGAAGGACAACUCUGUGACGACCACCCAUGCAGCACGGGCAGCUCCUUCCCAGACCCUGGAAGAAGAGGUGGGGGGAGCUGAGGUGUCCGACGUGAGUGACAGCUUCAUGAUGCCCACCAAGGCCCUUGAGAAGAUUCCCUCCCUCCUACCAGGCAAGAUCCUUAUCGAGGAGGACAUCCGCAUUCGCAGCACUCCCUGGGCCACCAUCAUGAGCCCCCAGACCCUGAAGCUCAUCCUCCAGGGCAUCAUGCGCCGACUGGAGGCCUCAGAGUCCCCCCAGACAAGGAGGGCCAACGACCCCUUCAGGCUGAUGAAGGAUCUCUUUCUGGAGGUCCAGCAUGCCCUUAAGUAUGCUGACAUCUCUGUCAUCUUUGGCCUGGAGGAGAGCAUCCAAUUCAUUGGGGAGGAUGCGGUGAAGGCCAUCGUGAAGACUGCAGCUAAAAGAUUGUCUCUGCGUUCGGACUCCAACCGGGCUCAACUGUGUGCCGCGCGCUCUGGUGGCGAGGGAGCCAUCAGGUGCAUGGCGGACACCAUCACACAAGUCAUAGAUGACUAUUCCGAGGACUGGAGUUCCGACUGCCAUUUUGGAGCCAGGAGGAGCUGUGCUAGUGGGAGGUCACACUCCUCAACCUCCUCAAGGAGUGACGUCACCUUCACCGAGGAGCUCUUGGCCCGGAGGGAAACCCUUGAAGAGGACCUAGAGGAGAUGGCUGAUGACAGCACUGGUUUGGAGAAGACCAUUGUAAGCUCAGUCAUCUCUGAGAAGUCCCAGGUAAUUAGCUACCUUUCUGAGAGCACCGAGCCCAUCAGCUGUGCCCUCUUCACAGAUCUCGAGGACAUCACCUCCACACAGAAGAAGGAGAAGGAAGAGGCUAUGAAGGAAGAAGUGAGGAAGUCAGGAAAGAAGAAGCGAGGAAAUAACAAGGACCAGAAGAAGAACAAGGUGUCUCCUCUUGGCAAUGAUAGUACUGUGGCUGCAGAUGAGCCGAAGAAAAAACAGGCUCUCUUCCCGCGGAUCACAGCCGCCCUGGCAAAACUAUUUUGCUUCCCCUGCAAAAAAAGAUGCAAAAAGUAACUGUGCAGAGACCAGUUUGGGAAACCCUGAUGCCACCUCCCCCAACCCACUUUCUAAAAAAACAUCAGAACAAUCAGAAGAGGGAGACAACCCCCCCUACUCACAACCCAUUUUAUUACCCCCCCCCCCCCCAAUUAAUUUAUUAAACACAACUUGCAGCUAUUUUGAACUUCUUCUUUACUUUU
rnacentral:lncRNA from 8 species